rnacentral:rRNA from 1 species
AGUGAACGCUGGCGGUAGGCCUAACACAUGCAAGUCGAACGGCAGCACAGAGGAGCUUGCUCCUUGGGUGGCGAGUGGCGGACGGGUGAGGAAUACAUCGGAAUCUACUCUGUCGUGGGGGAUAACGUAGGGAAACUUACGCUAAUACCGCAUACGACCUACGGGUGAAAGCAGGGGAUCUUCGGACCUUGCGCGAUUGAAUGAGCCGAUGUCGGAUUAGCUAGCUGGCGGGGUAAAGGCCCACCAAGGCGACGACCCGUAGCUGGUCUGAGAGGAUGAUCAGCCACACUGGAACUGAGACACGGUCCAGACUCCUACGGGAGGCAGCAGUGGGGAAUAUUGGACAAUGGGCGCAAGCCUGAUCCAGCCAUACCGCGUGGGUGAAGAAGGCCUUCGGGUUGUAAAGCCCUUUUGUUGGGAAAGAAAUCCAUCUGGUUAAUACCCGGGUGGGAUGACGGUACCCAAAGAAUAAGCACCGGCUAACUUCGUGCCAGCCGCCGCGGUAA